rnacentral:rRNA from 1 species
CCCUUAGAUGUCCGGGGCCGCACGCGCGCUACACUGAAGGAAUCAGCGUGGCUCUGUCCCUGGUCCGAAAGGAUUGGGAAACCCGUUGAAUCUCCUUCGUGAUAGGGAUUGGGGCUUGGAACUGUUCCCCAUGAACGAGGAAUUCCCAGUAAGCGCGAGUCAUAAGCUCGCGUUGAUUACGUCCCUGCCCUUUGUACACACCGCCCGUCGCUACUACCGAUUGAGUGAUCCGGUGAAUAAUUCGGACUGCAGCACUGCUUGGUCUCCAGGCUUUGCAGCGGAAAGUUUAGUGAACCUUAUCACUUAGAGGAAGGAGAAGUCGUAACA